rnacentral:rRNA from 1 species
CCCGCAACGAGCGCCACCCUUGAUCUUAGUUGCCAUCAUUUAGUUGGGCACUCUAAGGUGACUGCCGGUGACAAACCGGAGGAAGGUGGGGAUGACGUCUAAUCAUCCUGCCCCUUAUGACCUGGGCUACACACGUGCUACAAUGGACGAUACAAACGGUUGCCAACUCGCGAGAGGGAGCUAAUCCGAUAAAGUCGUUCUCAGUUCGGAUUGUAGGCUGCAACUCGCCUACAUGAAGCCGGAAUCGCUAGUAAUCGCGGAUCAGCAUGCCGCGGUGAAUACGUU